rnacentral:lncRNA from 1 species
ACUGUAGGGCAAGUCACUAUAUUGUGUUGUUUCGUAGUCCCAUCAGUGGCAGUCGACCAAACCAGUAUGAAAAUAUAAAGAAAAUUAUUACAAACAUAUUUACCGUUUGUUCUCCUCAUUUUCUUUACGGUUUUUCGUGAAAACUAAUUAAAGAUAAUAAUUAUGUUUCCUCCUAAUAAUCGUGGGUAAUAUCCCGGGAAAUCGGAGGUGUGUCCAAUUCAACCAAUCACGAGGCGGGAUUUUCCCUACGUCAUUGUCCUCGUUCGCUACAUAAAAACAUCUAACAACCAUAACGGAGAAUGACACCGAUGAAGUUUCGUCACCGAUACAGAGAUAAAGAGGUGUUUUAUUCACUUCCCGACUGUGGAUGAUGUCGUUUUGAAAGAAUUUACAGACACAAAAUGGUCCAAAGCUUUUGCUUCUGCUGAGAUUUUGAAAAAUACGGACGGAGAAAAGAGCAAAAUUGCGACGGAUUUCCUUGCCAAUGUCGCCCGUAUUGAACCGUAUACAGCGACAGUGGCAGUGGUGCAUUGCAAAUGACAAUGUUGUAAUUUGCGCUGCACUGGUACUGUCGCUGUAUGUAUACGGUUCAAUACCGGCGACAUUGGCAAGGAAAUCCGUCGCAAUUUUACACUUUUCUCCGUAAAAUACCUCGAGAUUCUAACAAGACUGAAUUUGAAGAUCUGAUAUCCCUUCACAACCUAAGAAGCUGUGUAGGAGUCUACAAUCUCGGCGCUCAUCUGCCAGCUUCGAUUUGUUGGACCUAUUUGAGACCAUCAGCAUAAAAUCUACGCGUUCAUAUUGAGCACUAAAUGUAUGCAAUAUUUUUUGCUGUUUAUCAGCAGAUUUUUCAACAUUAACUGGUUCUAUUGAUAACAACAAAUAUAUAUGAUAAAAUUAAAAUGAACAAAGGCAAGAUCAUUGUGAAUCUUUUUCUCUGAUAUUUCUUAUUCAAUUUGGGGAUUAAAAAAAAAGAUUUUUAUAUCCCUAUGGUUCCUUUGUAAAUUAUGUACAAAAUAACCAACCUUUCAUGAAUAGACAUAUACAAAUGUAUGGGUCGACUGGGGUGUUUUACAUAUACAUUAUGUGCACCUGUAAUAUAAGAAUAUACUAAAUAUAUGUACAGAUAUAAUUUCAGAGCUGGAAAAAUGUUUUUUUUAGAUGCCAAAAUUAAUCUCCCAAGGUUUGAUGGUUACAAACUGUUCCAAUUUUUAUUUCAUCAAGAGGCAAACAUUUUCCUUCAAAUGUCAAGGAAAUGAUGUCCUACAGUUCCCUAUUUAUUCCAGACUUGAUAAUUAUAUUGAUUAAUUGAUAAGAAUUGUAUCAAGGAAAGCAAAAUGAAUUAUUUUGCUAACAGUAAUAUUACAGGUAAUCACUUACAGUAAUGUACUAUUGUACUUGCAUUGCAUGCUCAUUUGUUUCAUAAUAAUAAUAAUAAUAUGGACAUUUAUUAUUUAUUAUGCAUACAUGUAUUUUGCCAUGUUGAAGCAUUGCCAAGAUUUAUAGUCAAAUAUAAAACUUUAUUACGUUCAAAUAUAUGGGUCGUUUCAAACUUUCCAUCACACUCUUUGGACACUUGUUGUAAUCGAAAUAUGUAAAAUUUAUGAAUUCCUCAACAGUAACAGCUUUUUGGCAAUUUUUCUAUCAACAUAUUUUAGGACAUUUUCUUUGAACCAAAAAAAAGACAACAAAUGACUAGACACAUCUUAUCAAUGUUUCAUAAUUUAUUUCAAUUUCAUCAAUAUUUAUGUAAAAACUGUUAACAAUCUUUGCAGUUCAAGUUAAAUUGCAUUUGUAAAUUACAACAUACAUGUACCAUAGUUCUGAUUUCACUGGCAGUGGCAAGUACCGGUAUUAGAAAAAGUACCCGGUAAUAAGCUACUUGUAGAUAAAUGUCAUUGACAAAAUGGUAGUAUGGUAAUACAUUUUACGUAAUGAAUGAAAUCAAAUUAAACAGAGAAGAAUAUAA